UGGGGAGUACGGCCGCAAGGUUAAAACUCAAAUGAAUUGACGGGGGCCCGCACAAGCGGUGGAGCAUGUGGUUUAAUUCGAUGCAACGCGAAGAACCUUACCUGGUCUUGACAUCCACAGAACUUUCCAGAGAUGGAUUGGUGCCUUCGGGAACUGUGAGACAGGUGCUGCAUGGCUGUCGUCAGCUCGUGUUGUGAAAUGUUGGGUUAAGUCCCGCAACGAGCGCAACCCUUAUCCUUUGUUGCCAGCGAUUAGGUCGGGAACUCAAAGGAGACUGCCAGUGAUAAACUGGAGGAAGGUGGGGAUGACGUCAAGUCAUCAUGGCCCUUACGACCAGGGCUACACACGUGCUACAAUGGCGCAUACAAAGAGAAGCGACCUCGCGAGAGCAAGCGGACCUCAUAAAGUGCGUCGUAGUCCGGAUUGGAGUCUGCAACUCGACUCCAUGAAGUCGGAAUCGCUAGUAAUCGUGGAUCAGAAUGCCACGGUGAAUACGUUCCCGGGCCUUGUACACACCGCCCGUCACACCAUGGGAGUGGGUUGCAAAAGAAGUAGGUAGCUUAACCUUCGGGAGGGCGCUUACCACUUUGUGAUUCAUGACUGGGGUGAAGUCGUAACAAGGUAACCGUAGGGGAACCUGCGGUUGGAUCACCUCCUUACCUUAAAGAAGC
rnacentral:rRNA from 1 species